rnacentral:rRNA from 1 species
CCCUUAGAUGUUCUGGGCCGCACGCGCGCUACACUGAUUCAUUCAACGAGCCUAUCCUUGACCGACAGGUCCGGGUAAUCUUUGAAUCUGCAUCGUGACGGGGAUAGAUUAUUGCAAUUAUUAAUCUUCAACGAGGAAUGCCUAGUAGGCGCAAGUCAUCAGCUUGCGUCGAUUACGUCCCUGCCCUUUGUACACACCGCCCGUCGCUCCUACCGAUUGGGUGUGCUGGUGAAAUGUUCGGAUCGGCCGUUUGUCGCGGUUUCCGCGUCAUGUGGCUGAGAAGUUCAUUAAACCCUCCCACCUAGAGGAAGGAGAAGUCGUAACA